ACACUGACGUCGCGACGCAUAUCAAUAAGCGGAGGAAAAGAAACUAACAAGGAUUCCCUUAGUAACGGCGAGUGAAGCGGGAAGAGCUCAAAUUUGAAAUCUUCAAGGUUCUACCUUGACGAAUUGUAGUUUAAAGAAGUGUUUUCUGUUAGUGGAGUGGCAAAAGUUCUUUGGAAUAGGACAUCAUAGAGGGUGAGAAUCCCGUAUUUGACCAUUAUUUUCAGCUGUGUGAUACACUUUCAAAGAGUCGGAUUGUUUGGGAAUGCAGUCCAAAAUGGGUGGUAAAUUUCAUCUAAAGCUAAAUAUUGGCGAGAGACCGAUAGCGAACAAGUACCGUGAGGGAAAGAUGAAAAGAACUUUGAAAAGAGAGUUAAACAGUACGUGAAAUUGUCAAAAGGGAAGCGUUUGACACCAGUGUUGUUUUUCCGAGAAUCAAUUAUAAAUGUUUUGUUUCUGAGGAGUGAUGACUUCAUCGGCUUCCUUCUCUCUUCACGAAACUUUUGUAAUGCACUUUUCGGUUAACAAGUCAACAUCAAUUUCUUUUGUUGUAAAAGAGUAUUCGGAAGAGUAGGCUUUCUUUUCGGAGAAAGUGUUUAUAGCCCUAUACUUCUACAAUCGGAGAGAUUGAGGUCUGCAGCGUAGAUCCUUCGGGGUUAGAUACACUUGUGCUAAGUUAUAGCUUUUCAUAGACAACUUGUUGACUAUGUUUAGUCUUGUAGCUUACUCGCUUGUGCUAUUUUACCUACGCUUAGGAUGUUGAGUCGUAGAGCACGCAG
rnacentral:rRNA from 1 species